GACGAACGCUGGCGGCGUGCUUAACACAUGCAAGUCGAACGGAAAGGCCUCUUUCUUGGUGUACUCGCGUGGCCAACGGGUGAGUAACACGUGAGUAACCUGCCCUUCUCUUUGGGAUAACUUCAUGAAACUGGGGCUAAUACCUGAUAGGAGCUCCUGCUGCCCGGUUGGGUUUGUAAUGUUUCGCGGUUUUGGUGUCGAUUCUCGGCUUAUCAGCUUGUUGUUGGGUAGGUGGCUUACCAAGGCUUUGACGAGUAGCCGGACUGUGAGAGUGACCGGCCAUAUUGGGACUGAGAUACGGCACAGAUACCGAAGGGAGGGAGAAGUGGGGAAUAUUGAACAAUGGGCGGAAGCCUGAUGCAGAAGGGCUGUGUGCCGGAUGACGGCCUUCGGGUUGUAAAACGAAUGCGUUCGUAACGAAGCUUGGUGUGACGGUAGUGGGUAAAGAAGCACCGGCUAACUACGUG
rnacentral:rRNA from 1 species